GCAACUGUGUAAAGACCUAUCUCCCCUCUUCUGCCCUGUACCUCCAGCUGACUCCAGUUGAUCUCCUGCAUCUCUCGGAACUUGCAAGUGAAUAUGAAGCUGGCACAGGAAACUGCAUUGACACACUGGAAAACUGAAGGUCUCUAUGCUCAAACCUGGCAAAGCCCAAAUUUCAAAUAAACCUGCUCUGUUCAUCAAGGCUAUGCUGGGCAUUUUGGAUAUUAAGAGAAAGCUGAGAUCCUCACAGGCUAGUGGAGUCCUUGGGAGUGCAGUCCUAGGCAAUGCAUACUGGAAAUAUUGGGAAGGCCAGUGCAGAAAGCUAGAGCUCGUAACAGGAGCUGGGAAAUGUCACUGCAGCACAGAAGAGUUGUGAGAGAAACAGGUGACUUGAAGGUCAGUAAUAAAUAGUGUCCAGGCCUCUCCAGGUAGUAAGGCUGUGUAUACAGCCAGGCAUCAACUUGCAGCUAAGCAGAAAAUUGCUUCCAUUUUAUGGCAUGAAAAUCAGACUGGGGCACAGAGAAGUUAUGAAACUGGGUCUGGUUAAAGGCUCAGUCCUUUUACAUUUUGUUCCCUUGAAGAAUUAAAGGCAUUCAGUUACUAAGGACAGCAUUUGGAUGGUCUCACAGGAGCAGAAGAUCAGAACAGUUCAGUUUGCAGCCCUACCCUGAAGCGAGCAUCUCCAGCAGGAAUGACAAGACUUCUUUUACUGUUCCCUGCAAAUGAACUUUGCUGGUUCCGUUUUGCUCGGCAGCUAAGGGACCUCUGAGCUUCCAGGAUUUUACAUUGUAAGAUGUA